GCCAUCCUUUAGGUAUUAAGGAAGGGUAGUCCCAGCUACUAGGGAGGCUGAGACAGGAGGAUCGCUUGAGUCCAAGAGUUAUGGGCUGCACUGAGCUAUGCCGAUUGGGUGUUCACACUAAGUUCGGCAUCAGUACGAUGGCCUCCCGGGAGCCGGGGACCAGCAGGUUGCCUAAGGAGGGGUGAACCAGCCCAGGUUGGAAACGGAGCAGGUCAAAACUCCCGUGAGGAUCCGUGGUGGAAUGAGGCCUGUGAAUAGCCGCUGCACUCCAGCCUGGACAACACAGCAUAGCGUGCA
rnacentral:SRP_RNA from 1 species